UACGAAGGGGGCUAGCGUUGCUCGGAAUCACUGGGCGUAAAGGGUGCGUAGGCGGGUCUUUAAGUCAGGGGUGAAGUCCUGGAGCUCAACUCCAGAACUGCCUUUGAUACUGAGGAUCUUGAGUUCGGGAGAGGUGAGUGGAACUGCGAGUGUAGAGGUGAAAUUCGUAGAUAUUCGCAAGAACACCAGUGGCGAAGGCGGCUCACUGGCCCGAUACUGACGCUGAGGCACGAAAGCGUGGGGAGCAACAGG
rnacentral:rRNA from 1 species